GUGGCACUUCAGGUCUCCCAGAAGUGGAGGCCCCUGCUGCAGAUAUGUCUUGAGAAGUGCUGCCAUGCCCCUGCCCCUGCUCUCUUGCUUUGUCAGCAAUCUCGGCAGCUUUUGCACUUUCUGGAUUGUAGCCAGGUGGUCGAACAUACAUAAAGCUAACAGCUUUCAUCAUCUCCAUCUUUUCUUUCUCUUUUUUGGAGACGAGAGCAGUCUGACGAAAAAAUUCCUGUUCUUGAGCAUACUCGCGGGCUAUUUCCUCAGCUCGUAGUUCUCUCUGAGCAUGAGUCUGCUCGGCAAUCCAUUUUCUCCUUUGAUUUGGGUAAGAGAGAGGAUGCCAAGGCUUCUGGUUAAGGAAAGAGUGAGACCACGCUGUACCAGCUUUGGUUUUGUAAUCA
rnacentral:misc_RNA from 1 species